rnacentral:lncRNA from 1 species
GCAGGGAUAUGCCGUUUUAUAGGCAACACUUAGGGCUCCUUUCAGAUUUUACUUUGCACCCUUAUUCCCUCUAUUUUUUCCAGCCUUUUAUGUUACCCAAGCUAUAUCACUAAGCUUUCUGAAACUCUAAUUGGAAUCCCAAUGUUCUAGGGGUUUCCAAUUCAGUAAUUAAAGAUUCCCUAAGUCUGAAGUACCUAGGCUACCCUUUUCUACUUCUGAGAAUUACCAAGCUAAAACCACAACCUGGUCAAGAAGUGACCAUGGUUAAACAAAAUAUAGCCUAUUAAGCUAUAACCAAACAGAUCCUAAAAAUUGAACUUAUUAAAAAGUUUAACUAAUCAUGAAAUUAAAAUUAAGAAUCAGUGGAAUGACAAUUAACCGAAAUUGAGACUAAAAAUAAAAUUAUCAAGAGCAAUCAAAUAUUAUUCAAUCAAAACAAAAGCACAAAAUCAAACUAGAACUAAACUAGAACGAAAACUGAAUCAAUUAAAAC